rnacentral:lncRNA from 1 species
CAAAUAAUUUUGUAAAAGUGAAGUGGUCCAACUUCAAGUCUUUGUUACUGACCUCAUGAAUAUGCUUUUCAGGCAUCUGAGGCUGCUUCUUGGAAAAGAUGAUAUUGGACAAAUCCAUGAUUAGAGCCUUUGUAAUGUUAACCAUCCCUACUGCGCUGGAAUUGAUUACACACAUUUGGUGAAAGGCAAUUUGAAUGACUGUUUCUCCAGCCAUUUUCAAAGGGACAGGAGGAGGAUGCAGUAGGGAAACCUGUGUUGAUGCAGCUCUGCACCAGCACACUGAUGUAGAGCUUCAGCUGGAUUCAAAAUAUACUGUGUUCGGUGGUUAAGCCCUUUUUCUUUGCAUCUUCCUAUCCAAAGAAGUAUUUACAUGAAAUGUCAGUCACCCCGUGGAAUUAUAUGAGAAUUAAUUAUCUGUGGAGAAUGAUUUGGCCCUAUUAAUUAUGGGUCUCAUGUAAGAAAAAGAAUAGGCCUAAUGUGUCAUAUGACUUUUUUCAGACAGUGAACUAGGAACUCAUAGGCAUCAAAUAUCAAUAAUGGUUUUGUUGAAUACAGAUUGAUGACCUCUGACAGAAAUUAUAGGAGAAACUUGUAUCAUUUUGUCUUAUUAUAGCCUACUAAGACCUUAGUCAAGAUUGGGGUCUUAUUUUCUUAGGCUGUCAUGCAAGGGGUUAAAGCCGAUAUUUAUCAGAUUAUUAUUUGCAACCAGUCAUGAAUGAAUAAGGCUUUAAUAUACGUAGAGUCAGAAAUAGCUGAUGUUAAAAUGCAAUUGCAAAUCAAAUACAGUAUUUCGUGGAGACAGUUAAAACAUUAUGUCUAAUUAAGUCUUCAUUUAAACAUGUGUGUAAUUUUGUUGUUCAGAAUUAUGUACAGCUUUGUAGACUGUUCCCUGCAGUGAAUCAUGGUGCCUGCUUGUAUCUUGCCAUUUGGUAAAGGAAAUCUUGAAUUUUAUGUUUUGCAGAUAUAGUCAAAUAUAAACAAAGUUCUAAGUUUUCUGAAUUAUUCAAAAUCUGUGUAUCUCACUGAGAAAAACUGAGUGUUUAUCAUUUUGUACUUUUAAAAUGUGG